rnacentral:rRNA from 3 species
AGGUAUCAUUACACAAAUAUGAAUCUGGCUGGAACCUCUCGGGGUUACAGCCUUGCUGAAUUAUUCACCCUUGUCUUUUGCGUACUUCUUGUUUCCUUGGUGGGUUCGCCCACCACUAGGACAAACAGUAAACCUUUUGUAAGUUGCAGUCAGCGUCAGUAACAAAUUGAAGUAAUUACAACUUUCAACAACGGAUCUCUUGGUUCUGGCAUCGAUGAAGAACGCAGCGAAAUGCGAUAAGUAGUGUGAAUUGCAGAAUUCAGGUGAAUCAUCGAAUCUUUGGAACGCACAUUGCCCCCUUUGGUAUUCCAAAGGGCAUGCCUGUUCGAGCGUCAUUUGUACCCUCAAGCUUUGCUUGGUGUUGGGCGUCUUGUCUCUAGCUUUGCUGGAUACUCGCCUUAAAGCAAGUUGGCAGCCGGCCUACUGGUUUCGGACGCACACAAGUCGCACUCGUCUAUCAGCAAAGGUCUAGCAUCCAUUAAGCCUUUUUUUUCAACGUUUUGACCUCGAUCAGGUAGGGAUACCCGCUAACGUUAAGCAGUAUCAAGUAAGCGGAGGAAAG